GAUGAAGAACGCAGCGAAAUGCGAUAAGUAAUGUGAAUUGCAGAAUUCAGUGAAUCAUCGAAUCUUUGAACGCACAUUGCGCCCCUUGGUAUUCCGAGGGGCAUGCCUGUUCGAGCGUCAUUAUAACCCCUCAAGCUCAGCUUGGUGUUGGGGCCUGCUGCACUGGCAGCCCUUAAAAUCAGUGGCGGCGCCAUCUGGCUCUAAGCGUAGUAAUUCUUCUCGCUAUGGAGUCCUGGUGGAUGCUUGCCAUCAACCCCCAAUUUUUCUAUGGUUGACCUCGGAUCAGGUAGGGAUAGCCGCUGAACUUAAGCAUAUCAAUAAGCGGAGGA
rnacentral:misc_RNA from 1 species